rnacentral:rRNA from 1 species
GUCUAUGGCCACGCCACCCUGAACAAGUCAGAUCCCGUCUGAUCUCGGAAGCUAAGCAGAGUCGGGCCCGGUUAGUACUUAGAUGGGAGACCACCUAGGAAAACCAGGUGCUAUAGGCG